UGUACCUACGGGACGCAGCAGUGAGGAAGAUUGGUCAAUGGGCGAGAGCCUGAACCAGCCAAGUCGCGUGAAGGAUGACGGCCCUACGGGUUGUAAACUUCUUUUGUCAGGGAGCAAUUGAGUCCACGUGUGGUCUUAGCGAGAGUACCUGAAGAAAAAGCAUCGGCUAACUCCGUGCCAGCAGCCGCGGUAAUACGGAGGAUGCGAGCGUUAUCCGGAUUUAUUGGGUUUAAAGGGUGCGUAGGCGGAAUAUCAAGUCAGCGGUAAAAAUUCGGGGCUCAACCCCGUCGUGCCGUUGAAACUGA
rnacentral:rRNA from 1 species